rnacentral:lncRNA from 1 species
GAGAACAUGGGCAAUCACCUCCUCGUCAGGAGCUAGUGUCACACUUCUCACACCCCUGCCAGCUUCAGGCGUGGGCUCUGGUGUGCGGAGCAGGGGCAGCUGUCCUGCAGGGCCGAGUGCUGGACAUCCCUUCCCAGAAGAGGAGCAAGAACAACAUAGUCUCUAAUGUUAGAAGUCCUUCACUUCAAUACAGGCCUACAACACGAGGUCUUAGAUAUUUUAGAGAAGUGAUUUCAAAGGUCUUCAGCAAAUGCAAUGUUUUAUUUGGUAUUAUUUCUUCUCAAAGCAUUAGAAAUACUGUUAAAAUACAAGAGAAAAAAGUAAUACAAAUAAAUGUGAAAAAAUAAUUGCUAACUAGAAUAUGUAUUUUGGGGUUCAUUUUGAUCAAAUGCAGUGUUCACUAUGCAGCCGUAAUUUUGCUCGUAUACGCUGUGAUCCAGUGCAUCCCUAGACUGGUUGAAAGAUGAAUCCCCUGUUUUGUCAGUUCUUUCGAAUGAAUGCUUGUGCUUCCUCUUCCUUCUGUCCAAAAAAAAAGGAAACCAAAAACAGCUUUAAUUUCUAUUCUUAACUGUAGUGAGA